GGAGUAUGCCAGCUCAGUCUGAAACUGGCUUAAGUCCCGAAUCACCAAUAACUUUUCCGAAAGUGAACCCCAUUUCAAUGACCAACCUCAAGCUGACCUUCAGGACUUGGCAUCACAGUCAAAGGGCCAGACCCCCACCAGGAAUGGGAAUGUCUUCAGGUGCACUUGGCCUGCAAACUCAGCCCGGUGGAGAUGGUGGUGGUGAGAUGCAGGGAGAUGGAGAGAAAAAUGGGAGCAGCACCUUUCUUUACAAAGCCAAAAGCUACAUCCCCAUUGACCUAGAUGUCAUAAGAGUUUUUUUUUCCCCAAAGGGCACCAUGAUGGAGAAUCGGCUUUCCCAAGGACACACAUACCUUUGUCACACCAAGCACCACCUUGUCCUCAGACUGUUCUUGUACUGGCUUUGUUUACAAGCCAGAUCUUUUUUUAAAUGAGAAAAAUCAAAUGUUCACUUAAGAAGUGAAAUUUGAAUAAAAUUACAGUUUCAGGCAAAGCCUAUAUUAUUUUUAAAAUCAGCGAAUAAAGC
rnacentral:lncRNA from 1 species